rfam:Brachypodium distachyon strain Bd21 chromosome 1, whole genome shotgun sequence.
UAAGUACUCCCUCCGUCCUAAAAAGGAUGUCGCAAAUUUUCAAAAUAUGAAUGUAUCUAGAUACAUCCAAAUUUAGACAAAUUUCAAACAUCCUUUUCCGGACGGAGGGAGUAGUAU